rnacentral:snoRNA from 2 species
GUGAUGACUCGGUUCUAUGCUGAGGUUGAUGUGUGCCGAGUUCGCUGA